CUAGUUAAAGAUAAUUGCUUCGUGUUAGCAAACCAUGGGUGAAAUGAAUUUCACUUUUCAUGGUUGCACACCACUGAGGAGGAUUUUUGGCUUCUUUGUAGUUCCUAGGUUCAAUCUGGGAAGUGAUAGGAGCAACAAUGACUUUAUGUGCAUCGGAUAACCUUUUAUAGGAAAUACUAGCAUUGAGAGGGUACUGACAACUGGAGAGAUCUUGUGCCUUUAGCUUGUCCAACGCUUGAGAUGGGUGAAGUGAAGUAGCCUGGUGGCAUAUGAAGUCCUGAAGAUGUGUUGGUGCUUUUUUGAUUCGGAUUGAUAUGCGGGGCAAAUGGGUUGUAGAAGUUGUGCUUGGUGAGGGACUGAAAGCAUAAGUGUCAGUGUUAAUUUGGGGCUCUUCAUGAUUAGAUUUUCGUGGAAGUUCUUUCUCAGGUUGGAUGGUUUGAGAGCCUGUUUCUGGCAUUACAUUAUUAUGACUGGUGUUUGAAGUUGCAUUGACUGUUUCUUUGUAAGCUAUAGGAUCUUGGAUAAAACUACUGAUGUUGUUAUGAUUUGAUCUUACAGAAUCAUCCUUAUAGGGAAAAAGGUUUUCAUAAAAAACUACGUUCCUAGAUAUGAAGAUUCUUUUAGUCUCAAGAUCCAGCAAGGUAUAUCCUUUGACUCCAAAAUGAUAGCCUAUGAACACACAUUUUUGGGCUCUACCAUUGACGAUGGUAGUGGCAUAGGCUAGGCAGCCAAAGACUUUGAGGUGAUUGUAAGAUGGCCUUUUGUGGAAUAAAAUUUGGUAAGGACUUCUAUCUCUCAAUGUGGAUGAAGGGUUUCUAUUGAUGAGAUACAUUGCAAUUAGGAUGCAAUGGUUCCAAUACUUUAAUGGGAUUCCACUUUGGAACUUUAAGGCCCUGGCCGUAUUAAGGAUGUGUUGAUGCUUCCUUUCUACGACAGCAUUUUGUUGGGGUGUCUCAACACAGGUUCUUUGAUGCAUAAUGCCCUUUUGGAGAUAAAAUUCUCUCAUAUUGAAUUCUCCAUCAUUAUCCAUUCUAAUAAUCUUAACUUUGGUUUCAAACUGUGUUUCAACCAUAGCACAUAAGUUAUGGAGGGCAUUGGUAGCAUCUGAUUUUAGUCUUAAGGAAUAGGCCCACGUGCAUCUACUAAAAUCAUCCACAAUGGUUAAGAAAUACUUGGAACCAUCACUACCGAUCUCACUGCAGGGGCCCCAGAUGUCUCAAUAUAAUAAUUCGAAACAUUUGUGAGUUUUGUGGGUGCUUGUGUGAAAGGGUAAUUUGUGCAAUUUAGACAAAGGGUAUAUAGAACAAAAUUUAUUAUUAGAUGAUUUUGAGAAUCGAACAUCUCCAUCAACACUAAGAAUAAAGUAAGAGGUAUGUCCUAAUCUGUAACGCCAAACAUCAAAAUCUUGAAUAUUAGAGGUGGCUGAAGCAAAGACAGGAAUUUGGGUCUGAGUAUGCAAUUUGUUCAAGUAAUCUGAUAGUGCUGGAGAGGGAACAUCUUUGGUGAUCAUGUGAUAUAGCCCUUCCUUUAAUUCACCAUGCCGAUCGUCUUUCAAGCUGAAAGGUCCUAGAUGUAAUAGCAACGAGAAAAGAAAAUUAGACAACAUUUGAGCAUUUGUGUUAGUUUCUUAGCAGAAAUGAGAUUGAAUGAAAAGCUAGGUACACAAAGAACAUCUUGAA
rnacentral:lncRNA from 1 species